rnacentral:miRNA from 1 species
UUUGUGUGCGUGUGUGUGCAUGUGCAUGUGUGUGGCAUGCAUGCACAUACACACACACAC